ensembl:snoRNA SNORA70 Small nucleolar RNA SNORA70
CCGCAGCUAAUUAAGCCGGCCGUGACCCCCCCCCUCAAUGGGGUCCCGGCGUGCAAUGGCUGCGCACAGCACCCCCCCGGCUGUGUAGGGCGCCCCACUGCCCCCCCCCAGUGGGGUGCUCCAAGGGGCCGGGGGCACAACC